CCUACGGGGCGCAGCAGGCGAGAAAACUUUGCAAUGUGCGAAAGCACGACAAGGUUAAUCCGAGUGGUUUCUGCUAAAGAAACCUUUUGCUAGUCCUAGAAACACUAGUGAAUAAGGGGUGGGCAAGUUCUGGUG
rnacentral:rRNA from 1 species